GGUACUAUGUUGCCAACACGGCAGACCCUCAACUAAAUUCACCAGUUGCUCUAAAAUCAACGAGUUUUAACAGCUACCUCAGAUGUAUGAGGUUUCCUGACAAGUUUGACACCAAAUAACCUCCAAUCAUCUCAAAUAUGUAUGCCCGAGCAUAUUGUAUUCUUUCUACUUUAGUCGAAUCAUUCCCCGGCUUAGGGAAUGUGUAUCGUAACCAAUCCAUCUCGAU
rnacentral:lncRNA from 1 species